rnacentral:tRNA from 1 species
UGGAGACUAGUCUAAUCAAGACAACUAAUUUCGACUUAA